AGAGUCCGUCAGUCCGGGACGAGGUACUGAGAAACUUUUUUUUUUGUACCUUUAAUUGGUGCGUUCGGCUGAAAGGCGGGGCCUGGUAAAAAAAAAAAAACAGAACUGCUGCUGAGGCGGAGGAGAGGACUUAAGGACUAUGGGUUUAUCCUCUGGCCGGACCAAAGAGAAGAUAUUUACUCCAGUGAGUGCGAAGUGAGUGCCUCGUUCACACCCACAGUCGCGCCGUCCCCUCUUCCCGCUCUGGGGCCAGCAACUCUUGUUAGAAUGCAGAUGCCUUUUGUCCAUGGACUGUGAGGCAGGCAAGUGCAACAAUUAAUUUUCUCUGUAACAGAUGGAACAAGUAGACAGAAAAUUAGUAUGGAUAUGGAAAACUUGGAAAGCACUAACCAACUUGACCUAAUUGACGUUUAUAGGUGACCAACCCAACAAUAGCAGAAUACACACUCCUGUCAAGUGCACCAGACACUCUCUGCGUAGGAUCAUCAUGCCGAGCAUAAACUGGACUUUCCCACUUGCCUGGCAGGAGUCACACAGAUCCCUGCGUGCUAAAUGAACAUCUGAGGU
rnacentral:lncRNA from 1 species